rnacentral:rRNA from 1 species
GCGAAUGGUGGAUGCCUUGACUGGUAAAGGCGAUGAAGGACGUACUAGACUGCGAUAAGCUACGGGGAGCUGUCAAGAAGCUUUGAUCCGUAGAUUUCCGAAUGGGGCAACCCAAUGUAUAGAGAUAUACAUUACCUAUAUAGGAGCGAACGAGGGGAAUUGAAACAUCUUAGUACCCUCAGGAAAAGAAAUCAAUAGAGAUUGCGUCAGUAGCGGCGAGCGAAAGCGCAAGAGGGCAAACCCAGUGCUUGCACUGGGGGUUGUAGGACUGCAAUGUGCAAGAGCUGAGUUUAGCAGAACAUUCUGGAAAGUAUAGCCAUAGAGGGUGAUAGUCCCGUAUGCGAAAAACAAAGCUUAGCUAGCAGUAUCCUGAGUAGGGCGGGACACGAGGAAUCCUGUCUGAAUCCGGGUCGACCACGAUCCAACCCUAAAUACUAAUACCAGAUCGAUAGUGCACAAGUACCGUGAGGGAAAGGUGAAAAGAACUGAGGUGAUCAGAGUGAAAUAGAACCUGAAACCAUUUGCUUACAAUCAUUCAGAGCCCUAUGUAGCAAUACAGGGUGAUGGACUGCCUUUUGCAUAAUGAGCCUGCGAGUUGUGGUGUCUGGCAAGGUUAAGCAAACGCGAAGCCGUAGCGAAAGCGAGUCUGAAUAGGGCGCUUAGUCAGAUGCUGCAGACCCGAAACGAAGUGAUCUAUCCAUGAGCAAGUUGAAGCUAGUGUAAGAACUAGUGGAGGACUGAACCCAUAGGCGUUGAAAAGCCCCGGGAUGACUUGUGGAUAGGGGUGAAAGGCCAAUCAAACUUCGUGAUAGCUGGUUCUCUCCGAAAUAUAUUUAGGUAUAGCGUUGUGUCGUAAUAUAAGGGGGUAGAGCACUGAAUGGGCUAGGGCAUACACCAAUGUACCAAACCCUAUCAAACUCCGAAUACCUUAUAUGUAAUCACAGCAGUCAGGCGGCGAGUGAUAAAAUCCGUCGUCAAGAGGGAAACAACCCAGACUACCAGCUAAGGUCCCUAAAUCUUACUUAAGUGGAAAACGAUGUGAAGUUACUUAAACAACCAGGAGGUUGGCUUAGAAGCAGCCAUCCUUUAAAGAAAGCGUAAUAGCUCACUGGUCUAGUGAUUUUGCGCGGAAAAUAUAACGGGGCUAAAGUAAGUACCGAAGCUGUAGACUUGCGCACAACUUAGAUUAUUUAAGUUUAGAAUAUGAGAAACUAAGUUAUGUUUAGUUAUAUUUUUACUGAUUUUUAUAGAGUAAAGAUAGAAAUAAAACUUAGUAAAAUCAGUAAAAAUAUUCUUAGGCUAAAGUUAAGUAGUUUAAGUUGUGUGCAAGUGGUAGGAGAGCGUUCUAUUUGCGUCGAAGGUAUACCGGUAAGGAGUGCUGGAGCGAAUAGAAGUGAGCAUGCAGGCAUGAGUAGCGAUAAUUAAUGUGAGAAUCAUUAACGCCGUAAACCCAAGGUUUCCUACGCGAUGCUCGUCAUCGUAGGGUUAGUCGGGUCCUAAGUCGAGUCCGAAAGGGGUAGACGAUGGCAAAUUGGUUAAUAUUCCAAUACCAACAUUAGUGUGCGAUGGAAGGACGCUUAGGGCUAAGGGGGCUAGCGGAUGGAAGUGCUAGUCUAAGGUCGUAGGAGGUUAUACAGGCAAAUCCGUAUAACAAUACUCCGAGAACUGAAAGGCUUUUUGAAGUCUUCGGAUGGAUAGAAGAACCCCUGAUGCCGUCGAGCCAAGAAAAGUUUCUAAGUUUAGCUAAUGUUGCCCGUACCGUAAACCGACACAGGUGGGUGGGAUGAGUAUUCUAAGGCGCGUGGAAGAACUCUCUUUAAGGAACUCUGCAAAAUAGCACCGUAUCUUC